rnacentral:rRNA from 1 species
UACAGAGGAGCCAAGCGUUGUCCGGAUUGACUGGGCGUAAAGCGCACGCAGGCGGAUGCGCGCGUGGGGUGUGAAAUCUGGCCGCUUAACGGCCAGGCGCCAUCCCAUACGGCGUGUCUGGAGGGCUGCAGAGGUCGAUGGAAUUGCCGGUGUAGUGGUGAAAUGCGCAGAUAUCGGGAAGAACACCCGUGGCGAAGGCGGCUCUCUGGGACGGUACUGACGCUGAGACGCGAAAGCGUGGGGAGCGAACAGG